UACGUAGGUGGCGAGCGUUGUCCGGAUUUAUUGGGCGUAAAGCGCGCGCAGGCGGUUGUCUAAGUCUGCUGUGAAAUCUCCCGGCUCAACUGGGAGGGGGCGGCGGAGACUGGGCGACUGGAGGGACCUAGAGGCCGGUGGAAUUCCCGGUGUAGUGGUGAAAUGCGUAGAGAUCGGGAGGAACACCUGUGGCGAAGGCGGCCGGCUGGGGGUACCCUGACGCUGAGGCGCGGCAGCGUGGGGAGCGAACCGG
rnacentral:rRNA from 1 species